rnacentral:misc_RNA from 1 species
CUAUAUAAGAAACGCUCCCAGAUCUCUCCAAUCAAAGUAGAAUCUGAUUUUACGCUGUAAACAUGAACUGCCUGAAGGUCUGUGGAUUUUUCUUCGCGCUUAUUGCGGCUCUGGCCGCAGCAGAGGCUGGUACUCAAGUGAUAAAUGCCGGUGGCCACACGCUCAUCCAAACUGAUAGAGGGCAAUACAUUCGCAAGAACUAAAUAAGAAGCAAUGGAAAAUACAAAUAAAAUAAGCUAAAAAAGUAUAAAAUAUUUAAAUUUGCGUGUUUCGAAUUUUAAAAAUGCCGCGCAGAUGGGAAAAGGUCACUUUAAAAUACCAGGGUAACAAACAGUGCUACCACACCUCAAUAUUUCAGAGUGAUCGUAUAUUGAAAAAUCAAUAUCGGUUAUCGACUACCAAAGUUAUUGUCUUCUUUGUAAACAAAAAAUGUAAACAAAUUUCAAUCUGUAUAUUCUAGUUAAAGAUAACUAAAAGGUAGCUAUAUAAAUGAUGUUAUCUUAGUAUAGAAGGGAGCUUGAAGGAAUCCAAUCUUUUUUAGCGCUUCUGAGGCUACCAGAGCAGCACCGACUACCUCUUUGCAAUGAGGCGCUCAAAAAAAAUUGAGGAGACAACUAAGGAAUUGACAUUGAAACUAUGACCGUUGUAAUCGUAAUUAAUUCUUAAUCACAACUAGAAUUUUUCCUACCUCAAUAAACAGUCUAGUGUUAGUUUUUAUGAAUACGAAUCUAUUUAAAGAACUUCUUAAAAUAACACAUUUUCUUAAAUCUAAAUGCUGAAAAGUUCUGUUCAGCGCGUAGCAGGCGACGAAGAAGACUUCCUGGCAGCCACAUCUUAUCGCCGCCCGGCUGACGGUCAAUAAAUGUGCCCACGACAGGACAAACAGCAGCCACAGAGGCAGCAGAAACAAUAACAAUAGUAAAGCCGCAAAACUCAACCACAACAAGCCACAAUCGGCAAUCAUCAACACUGGCGCGCCGCAGACCGAGAAGGGAUCAGAGGCCACGGCAGAGGACGAGAAGGAAGGAGUGGAUGGGUUGAAAGCUCUCCCAUUUUAAGGGCGCCAGUUGCAUUUUGACAGCGCCAACGAACCAAAAACACCCGCGCACAGCCAUGACAUCUGCACCAGAGCCCGCCCGCGAGCAGGAGCUCCAGUUCCAGCUCCGGCUCCAAAUGGAAUCCCAACAACAUAGCCAGGCCAAGAAUCUGCACGCCCUGCUGGAUCUGCCCGCGGCGAUGGAACUGCGCCAAAUUGAGUUGAUCUAUCGGGCGGAGGGUAAUGCAAAUUUGGUGCUCGCCUUGCCGCAAUUUAAAAAAGUUUUACGUUUGCCAAAAAUGAUAUCCAACAGACUGCGGCAGGAGGAGUCGGCGCUGAAGCGGAAAGGGGACUGCCAGCCGGAAGGGCAGUGCGAAUCAUCCGUUGGAGCCGUUACCAAAAAAGCUGGCGACUUGACAAUGCCGGAUUUUAUGGCUUAUAUCGGGAUAAUGCGCCGUCUAUUAGGAAAUGAGUUUGUCUGCGGAGCGGAUAUUGUUGCCAUACCAAAGGAAGACGAUAGAUUCUGGAUAAACGAGCAAAUACGCGCCCACAGACCGGUUUCGCGUCUGGAUAAGGAAUUUGUGGGGCCAUUCGGCCUGCUUCUGCCAGAUGUGACCCAAUUGCCUGCCACGUUCGAUGUUUUACUUGCCAAUUUACAGGCAAAGGGCAGAACAGGAGAUGGAACCAAAGAGGAGGAGCAGGAGGACGGCAGGAACCGGAGCUGGAGCGGUGUCCGUCGUCUGGGCGAUACAUAUGCCAUCGAAAUAAAACCCAAACAAGGCUGGAUCCAGUUGGCAAGUGAUGUCAACGAUUUAUUUGAUUUAAUGCCAGCCAUAGCAGAGACAAAGCCAAACAAGGAUACGGAGGCAGAGGACAAGAGGGCGUCGGAGGCCAAGGAGCAAAAGGAUCAGGAGCAGCAGGCAUUAACCCGAGACAAGUGCUGGUGUCGCUACUGCAACAUGCAGCUGCUGAAGCUGCACAAUGGGAAAAUCAAACGUUUGGGCCACUACUGCCCGCUGGAGCUAUUCUCCGGUGAACCCAGUCGUAUGCUCAGUGCCUUGGAUGCACUUCUCGCCUGCCCGCAAAAUAAUUUACGUGUAUUUCGGGAUGGCAAUUUAAUUUAUGGCGAUCACGCGAAUUCGAUUUCCUUCGAUGAAUUGCACUCGCGUGUUUUUCCCGGUGAAAUGAUGGUGCUUAUAAAACAUUUGCUGGUAGCUUGCCUGCUCAGGGAAUACGAGGAUGGCCAAAGGCUUCAGCAGAGCUCUAGCCAGGAGAUCCAGCCAACACCGAGUCGCGAUACUAUUGGCCAGAUGGAGACAAUAGCCGGAGCCGUUAAUGUUGACAGGAAGGCGGAAGAGUGGGAAGCUGGCUGCUUUGUCGAUGCUGGUCAAUCCUCGACCCGGACAAGAGCAGCUGCCGCCACGACCACGACAGAGACCCAAAGGUACACAAAGCUGGCCCGAAUAGACACAACAACAGCUGCAGCAGCCACUGAAGCUGCGGCUGGAGCAGCAACGAGGACAAGCCAACUGUCCGGCAAUGUGUUGGCAAUAGCAACUCGAACGGAAACAAAAACGGAAACGGAAACACUGCCAACUCCAGGCCCAAGUACGAGUUGGAAUCUGAAUUCGAAUCGGAAUCAGAAUGAGAAUGAGGUCCAGUCCCGAAAUCGGAAUGAGAAUGAGCCUGAGUCCGAGGCUACGAAUCAAACUCAAGCACAAAUCAACAAAGCGGAAAUAUUUCGCUUACCAAAAAAUUGUGUGCUGCAAAAAAUUUUGAAUUUGCAAUUGCUGGUAAAGAAACAUUUCGACUUCAUGUGGCACUCCGGCUUUGCUCACCACUCCCAGCGCACUUACAACUCACUCCGGGGAUUGCUCUCCGCUGCCGUGGCCGGCGAGGAAACUGAACUAGACCUGAAACCAGACCCGGAGCAGGCUUACAUGCUAGGAGCAACGGCACUGGAUUGCUCGAUUAUGUUGACGUUUCAGGAAAUCGAAAUCGAAUGGGAAACCGAUUGCCCCGCUGGUGGCAUCCAGAGCGCCGCCGCUCUGCAGCCUUGGUGUGUCUCCCUGCUGGGUCAUCACUUUCUAACGAAGCUCAGUGUCCUGGAUUUGGACCCCAAGCCCGACAGUCACUUUCAUAAAUUCAUAGAGCAGACACGUGAAAUGGAAAAGUGCCGUCGAGCAUUAAAUUAAUUGAUAAAGUUUACACCCAACUAAAAGCCAUACGCAUCGACAGUCGAGCGGAGAAAACUGUGCUACAAUUUUCUGUUCUACAUAAAUUUAGUUUCAAUUUUUUGCUUUUGGAUUCAGCUCCUCUACUUUCCUGCACCACAUACCUGUUCGACGAGAAUAACAAGAGCAUGUUGUAAUCGUAAAGGAGCACGUAAUAUUAUCAGACUUCCUAUUUGUAUGGUAAAUGGGAAGAGUUUUAAGUAAAGAAG